rnacentral:rRNA from 1 species
UACAGAGGUCUCAAGCGUUGUUCGGAUUCAUUGGGCGUAAAGGGUGCGUAGGCGGCGCGGUAAGUCGGGUGUGAAAUCUUGGAGCUUAACUCCGAAACUGCAUUCGAUACUGCCGUGCUUGAGGACUGGAGAGGAGACUGGAAUUUACGGUGUAGCGGUGAAAUGCGUAGAUAUCGUAAGGAAGACCAGUGGCGAAGGCGGCUCACUGGACCGGAACUGACGCUGAGGCGCGAAAGCGUGGGGAGCAAACGGG